rnacentral:tRNA from 1 species
GGAUUGUGGUUCAGUGGUAAAGUGCUUGCCUGGCAUGUGUGAGGCACUGGGUUUGAUUCUCAGCACCA